CAGAAUGCAGUUCAUCGUUGCUUUGUGUGUUUUAAUUGUUUGUGUUUCUGCACAACAAGAUUACAGAAGAAAAAGAUCAGGAUAUGGUGGUGGUGGUGGCGAUGGAUCUGGUCACAUCGGAGGUGGAGUCUCUGGUGGAAUUGGAGGAGGAAUUUCAAGUGGUCUAGGAGGAGGAUCGUCCGGUAGUUUAAGUGGCAAACUUAGAGGUGGUGUUAGUGGAGGGGUUUCUGGUGGAGGUGGAGGAGGGCUUAACGGUGGUGUAAGUGGCAAUCUUGGGGGUGCUGUUAGAGGAACUUCAAGUGGAGGAAGUGUUAGUGGUGGACUUAAAGGAGGGGUUUCAGGAGGUGU